rnacentral:rRNA from 1 species
UACGUAGGGGGCAAGCGUUGUCCGGAAUCAUUGGGCGUAAAGCGCGUGUAGGCGGUCCGGUAAGUCCGCUGUGAAAGUCGGGGGCUCAACCCUCGGAUGCCGGUGGAUACUGUCGGGCUUGAGCACGGAAGAGGCGAGUGGAAUUCCUGGUGUAGCGGUGAAAUGCGCAGAUAUCAGGAGGAACACCGAUAGCGAAGGCAGCUCGCUGGGACGGUACUGACGCUAAGGCGCGAAAGCGUGGGGAGCGAACAGG